rnacentral:rRNA from 1 species
AUUGAACGCUGGCGGAAUGCUUUACACAUGCAAGUCGAACGGCAGCACGGGUGCUUGCACCUGGUGGCGAGUGGCGAACGGGUGAGUAAUACAUCGGAACGUACCCAGUCGUGGGGGAUAACUAACCGAAAGGUUAGCUAAUACCGCAUACGCCCUGAGGGGGAAAGCGGGGGACCGUAAGGCCUCGCGCGAUUGGAGCGGCCGAUGUCUGAUUAGCUAGUUGGUGAGGUAAAGGCUCACCAAGCCGACGAUCAGUAGCUGGUCUGAGAGGAUGAUCAGCCACACUGGAACUGAGACACGGUCCAGACUCCUACGGGAGGCAGCAGUGGGGAAUUUUGGACAAUGGGGGAAACCCUGAUCCAGCCAUUCCGCGUGAGUGAAGAAGGCCUUCGGGUUGUAAAGCUCUUUCGGCAGGGAAGAAACGCUCUGGGUUAAUAACCCGGGGUAAUGACGGUACCUGAAGAAGAAGCACCGGCUAACUACGUGCCAGCAGCCGCAGUAA